UGAAAAAAUGAUGAAAUUUAGGUGAGAUUCCGUAUAGAGAAGGGCAAUCGAUAGGAGUGAUUCCUGAGGGAAUUGAUAAGAACGGGAAGCCCCACAAGCUGAGGUUAUACUCCAUCGCCAGCAGUGCCAUUGGUGACUUUGGAGACUCCAAGACUGUUUCUCUCUGUGUCAAGAGAUUAGUUUACACAAAUGAUAGCGGGGAGACUGUUAAGGGGGUCUGCUCCAACUUCUUGUGUGACUUGAAGCCUGGUGAUGAAGCUUUGAUCACUGGACCUGUUGGCAAGGAAAUGCUUAUGCCAAAAGACCCAAAUGCCACCA